rnacentral:tRNA from 1 species
UUCGGCGUCGGGCAGCUGGCGGGCCAGAACGGCCUCGAACCGGUCGCGGGUCAUGCCGGGGCGGGCCAGAACCCGUUCGGCCUGGACCUCCGGAUC